GAUGAACGCUGGCGGCGUGCCUAAUACAUGCAAGUCGAGCGAACAGAUAAGGAGCUUGCUCCUCUGACGUUAGCGGCGGACGGGUGAGUAACACGUGGAUAACCUACCUAUAAGACUGGGAUAACUUCGGGAAACCGGAGCUAAUACCGGAUAAUAUAUUGAACCGCAUGGUUCAAUAGUGAAAGACGGUUUUGCUGUCACUUAUAGAUGGAUCCGCGCCGCAUUAGCUAGUUGGUAAGGUAACGGCUUACCAAGGCAACGAUGCGUAGCCGACCUGAGAGGGUGAUCGGCCACACUGGAACUGAGACACGGUCCAGACUCCUACGGGAGGCAGCAGUAGGGAAUCUUCCGCAAUGGGCGAAAGCCUGACGGAGCAACGCCGCGUGAGUGAUGAAGGUCUUCGGAUCGUAAAACUCUGUUAUUAGGGAAGAACAAAUGCGUAAGUAACUAUGCACGUCUUGACGGUACCUAAUCAGAAAGCCACGGCUAACUACGUG
rnacentral:rRNA from 1 species